CUGCAGAUUCUACUGCGUCCCGCAGAUUCUACUGGAUCCCGCAGAUUCUACUGGAUCCUGCAGAUUCUACUGCGUCCUGCAGAUUCUACUGCGUCCUGCAGAUUCUACUGCGUCCCGCAGAUUCUACUGGAUCCUGCAGAUUCUACUGCGUCCUGCAGAUUCUACUGCGUCCUAAAAUGUUCUACUGCGUCCCGCAGAUUCUACUGCGUCCUGCAGAUUCUACUGCGUCCUGCAGAUUCUACUGCGUCCUGCAGAUUCUACUGCGUCCCGCAGAUUCUACUGCGUCCUGCAGAUUCUACUGGAUCCUGCAGAUUCUACCGCGUCCCGCAGAUUCUACUGCGUCCCGCAGAUUCUACUGCGUCCCGCAGAUUCUACCGCGUCCUAAAAUGUUCUACUGCGUCCCGCAGAGUUCUACCGCAUCCCUCAGAUUCUACCGCGUCCCGCAGAUUCUACUGAGUUCUACCGCAUCCCGCAGAUUCUACUGUGUCAUGCAGAUUCUACUGCGUCCUGCAGAUUCUACCGCGUCCUGCAGAGUUUUACCGCGUCCUGCAGAGUUCUACUGCGUCCUGCAGAGUUCUACCGCGUCCUAAAAUGUUUUACUGCGUCCUGCAGAUUCUACCGCGUCCUGCAGAUUCUACUGCGUCCUGCAGAUUCUACUGCGUCAUGCAGAGUUCUACCGCGUCCUGCAGAUUCUACUGCGUCCUGCAGAGUUCUACCGCGUCCUAAAAUGUUUUACUGCGUCCCGCAGAUUCUACCGCGUCCUGCAGAUUCUACUGCGUCCUGCAGAUUCUACUGCGUCCUGCAGAUUCUACUGCGUCCUGCAGAGUUCUACCGCGUCCUAAAAUGUUUUACUGCGUCCUGCAGAUUCUACUGGGUCCUGCAGAUUCUACUGCGUCCUGCAGAGUUCUACUGCGUCCCGCAGAGUUCUACCGCGUCCUAAAAUGUUCUACCGCAUCCCUCAGAUUCUACCGCGUCCCGCAGAUUCUACUGAGUUCUACCGCAUCCCGCAGAUUCUACUGUGUCAUGCAGAUUCUACUGCGUCCUGCAGAUUCUACCGCGUCCUGCAGAGUUCUACCGCGUCCUGCAGAGUUCUACUGCGUCCUGCAGAGUUCUACCUCGUCCUGCAGAUUCUACUGCGUCCUGCAGAGUUCUACCGCGUCCUAAAAUGUUUUACUGCGUCCUGCAGAUUCUACCGCGUCCUGCAGAUUCUACUGCGUCCUGCAGAUUCUACUGCGUCAUGCAGAUUCUACCGCGUCCCGCAGAUUCUACUGCGUCCUGCAGAUUCUACGUCAUUUCUGCGUCAUGCAGAUUCCACUGCGUCCUGCAGAUUCUACUGCGUCCUGCAGAUUCUACUGCGUCCUGCAGAUUCUACUGCGUCCCGCAGAUUCCACUGCGUCCUGCAGAUUCUACUGCGUCCUGCAGAGUUCUACUGCGUCCUGCAGAGUUCUACUGCGUCCCGCAGAUUCUACCGCGUCCCACAGAGUUCUACCGCAUCCCGCAGAUUCUACUGCGUUAGAGUUCUACCGCGUCCCGCAGAUUCUACUGCGUCCUGCAGAUUCUACUGCGUCCCGCAGAUUCCACUGCGUCCUGCAGAUUUUACUGCGUCCUGCAGAGUUCUACUGCGUCCUGCAGAGUUCUACUGCGUCCCGCAGAUUCUACCGCGUCCCGCAGAGUUCUACCGCGUCCCGCAGAUUCUACUGAGUUCUACCGCAUCCCGCAGAUUCUACUGCGUCCCGCAGAGUUCUACCGCGUCCCGCAGAGUUCUACCGCGUCCCGCAGAUUCUACUGAGUUCUACCGCAUCCCGCAGAUUCUACUGAGUUCUACCGCGUCCCGCAGAGUUCAACCGCGUCCCGCAGAUUCUACUGAGUUCUACCGCAUCCCGCAGAGUUCUACCGCGUCCCGCAGAUUCUACUGAGUUCUACCGCGUCCCGCAGAGUUCUACCGCGUCCCGCAGAUUCUACUGAGUUCUACCGCAUCCCGCAGAGUUCUACCGCGUCCCGCAGAUUCUACUGAGUUCUACCGCAUCCCGCAGAGUUCUACUGCAUCCCGCAGAUUCUACUGCGUCAUGCAGAUUCUAAUGCGUCAUGCAGAUUCUACCGCGUCCCUCUUUCUGCAGAUUCUACUGCGUCCCGCAGAUUCUACUGCGUCCUGCAGAUUCUACUGCGUCCUGCAGAUUCUACUGCGCCCUGCAGAGUUCUACUGCGUCCUGCAGAUUCUACUGCGUCCUGCAGAUUCUACUGCGUCCUGCAGAGUUGCAGAUUCUACUGCGUCCUGCAGAGUUCUACUGCGUCCUGCAGAGUUCUACUGCGGCCUGCAGUGGGCGGGGCUUCCCGGCAUCUGUCAUCACUUUCCAUCUUUGCUGUAAAAACGGCUCAAAUCCAGAUUGGUCUCCUGGCAUUCAGUGAAUCUCGACCUCUCCCCAUUCCUCUGUAGCACCACACCUCGGUCACAAUUGCUUACCUGUCAGUACUUCAAAUUGCCCCUCCUGCCUUGAUUGCCACCGCAAAUAUUCCCCCUUUCACCCAGCCGUCAGUGAAUGUUAUCUAACCGGCUCUCACGCCCACAUUUGUCCUUUGAGUACGUUCCUCAGAAGACGCUGCCGCAUCCAUCACUCAGCAGGUUUUAGUGCAAACAUCACGGAGAAAGAAACACUUUCCUGGUGAGAGCUGUCGAUCCAGCCGGGCCUGAUCUGCUAACCUGCAGGGACCACGAGUCCUGCGUCUGCACGCCGGGUCCGGGCUCAAACCCUGGAUAUCUACAGUGUUUCUGCCAUCACAUAAAUCUGAAGCUGGUUCUGGGUUUAGAUGCAGAUUCAGACCUGGACUAGUUCCCCGUCCAGGUGAGCGGAACCAAGCAGCACAACUGCUGCGGGUCAGGUGGCUCUGACCUGGUUCUUCGUGUGCAUGCAGGUUCGGGUGUGAGUCUUGACACAGGUUUGGAAUGGGAGUGGAGGAGAGGGAGUGUGAUCCAGGAGAAAACAGCAAUGGACUUUGG
ensembl:lncRNA